rnacentral:rRNA from 1 species
AGCAGUGGGGAAUUUUCCGCAAUGGGCGAAAGCCUGACGGAGCAACGCCGCGUGAGGGAUGAAGGCCUCUGGGCUGUAAACCUCUUUUCUCAAGGAAGAAGACAUGACGGUACUUGAGGAAUAAGCCACGGCUAAUUCCGUGCCAGCAGCCGCGGUAAUACGGGAGUGGCAAGCGUUAUCCGGAAUUAUUGGGCGUAAAGCGUCCGCAGGCGGCCUUGUAAGUCUGUCGUUAAAGCGUGGAGCUUAACUCCAUUUGAGCGAUGGAAACUACAAGGCUUGAGUGUGGUAGGGGCAGAGGGAAUUCCCGGUGUAGCGGUGAAAUGCGUAGAUAUCGGGAAGAACACCAGUGGCGAAGGCGCUCUGCUGGGCCAUAACUGACGCUCAUGGACGAAAG